CCCCUAACUAUAUAAACUCAACCCUUCCAGCCCCCUUCAGACCCCCCAUAUCCUGGUCUCUCUCAAACCUCAUCUCUUCCGGAUCCCUAGCCAGCCGCCCCCAUUUCCAUCACCUUAAGCCGGCGACGCCCAACGCUGAUGACCACCAUAUUAACACCCUAGAGCCACCUGACCACCCUGAACUCGAAUCCGCUAUCGCCUUCCCUCGAAUCAUCUUCCAUCUUCUCGAAUCUUACAUUUGAAGAUAUGAGCCAAACAUGAACCUACCUCAACCAAGCCCAAAAUCAUACCAGACCACCCCCAGGCCUCCCUCGUUACCAAAACAAUGUUGGUUUGGUUCAAAUCAGACCAGAACCGUUUGAACCCCAAACCAUACCCCAAUAACCCUAGAAAUUCCAAAACAUAUGAUCUUUCCAAAUUGAAAGGGUUUUCGGUGUCCAAUCGACCUUAGCCAAAGUGUUCUCGGUUGAGAAUACUCGGUUAAGGUCCGUUUGACGUAAAAAAUGAUCAGGUCCGAGAUUGGUCCAAGUCCAUUUGAGUGCUGAUUUUCUUUUUAAGGUAUUCUUCUUCCUUUGUUCCAUUUGUAUUAAUAUCUGCUCUUUAGUUUUGUUAUUUUGAUCUUUUUACUUUUUUUUUUCAACUGCUCUUCUGCUUCUUCUCAAUAACCUUUUAUUUGGUCGAAUUGUUUCUUGUCAAUUAUUAUAUGCAAUCGUAUAAAUAGAUUCGACGAUUAAUUAGUUUCCGUAAAAUCAUGAUUUUCUGUCAGGCAACCUCUUUUGUUUAUUUCUGUUUCUAUUUUGUUGUUGAUUCAUUUAGGAGCGCUCUUUCAUCCAACUCGAAAUGUCGUAAGAUAAGAAAGAUCGUAAGUAACAAUAGCGCAAAAGCGACUACUUAUUUAUCAUUUGAAUUUCUCCAAAUUGGAAUUCCUCUCCUAUGUUCUCAAAAACGCUUCCCUUUUUACUUGAAUUUUCAGCGAUCGUUUUUUCUACUAUUUUAGCGAUUAUGAUAGAGAUAAAGCUCUUUAGAUGGUCUUUUCUAUUGUAUAAUUAUUUAUUGUUCGAGUUGGAGUUAGAAAUCCAUCAGGAUUUCGUGUGCUUACUUAUAUUGCUUUUGGUUUUCGUAUCAUGGAUCUUGGGUCGCACUUUAUGUCAUUUCUAAGAAUUUUCUGUGAUCGUUUUUAAUACUAGUUAUAGUUUGUAUAGUUGGUUGCAUAAAUGUCGUUAAGUGGUUUAUGGUCGAUUGUUGUAUAUACCGAUUUUCAGUUACUUAGCUUCAGGGCACUGUCAAUAUUGACAAUAAUCCUGCAUUUUUGCAUGGAUUCGAUUCAGAACUAUGUUGAGUUUAAGACCUGUAUCUACGCGAUUUUGGUUCAAUUUUUGUUCAGUUUCAAUGAUUCUGUUAAGUUUUAUGUUGCAUUAAGUUGUGUUUUUGAUUUAAAAAUUAGUUCAUCUGUUUCAAUUAAAUAACUUCUGUCUUCCAGUUGUCAGGGAGAUUGGUUAUAACUGUAAAAUAGAAUUAGUUUUGGGCAAAUUUUCUUUAGGAAAGAACAGAUUGGAUUAAGGGCAGUAACCGUAAGAUUCAGGGGUAAUCUGGCCAAGUUCAAAAAUGAAAAAUAAGUUUGACUAAGGGGUCUGUCCAGUGGGUGCCUAAUAGCUUUAAUUUAAGUUAAUGGGUAGAGGGGGCCACCAAGUAAUGAUAGAUGUUUGGUUGAUUGGAAUUAGGAGUACUAGUUUAAUGAUAAAAAGUGUAAAGAAUACACAUAGAAGAGCAUAUUUGGGGGGCUGGAUAUUAAAGUAAAGGGUAAUUGGAGGGGUAAUAAUAAAAAGGUAGUAAUAAUAAUGAGGGGGGAGGGGAGAAAGUCUUAAUUUUACAUAUAUAUGGAUUCAUUUCAACACAAAAAAGAGGGAGGGUAGUUAACCAGAAUUUCAGAGUUUGGGAGGAACAAUCUGAUUAAAAAGGGACUAGCAAAAGAGAGGCUAGAAAAAGUAAAAGGAAACAAAUAGUUUUCUUUGAGUUUCUUUUUUUGAGAGUUUAAAGAUCAAUUUUCUUUUAAGCUUAAAAGCUGAAUUCUUCCAUACCUUGAAAUCUUAAGAGUUCGAGAGUGAGCUUGAGAGAGGACUGAUUUUGAGUGUUGUUACUGCUUCAUUGAAACUCAUAUUGUUUUCCGGUUUGAUUUUAAAGGAUUUGGGGUUCAAUUAGCUAUUGGUUUUGUUGGGUGUUGUUGUCGUUAUUUUGGAGUUCAAUCUGUGGGUCAACUGUUUUGGUUUCUGCUGUUUUCUUGGUCGUUUUGAAUCAUUCCUGGGGUUGAAGAAUAGUUGUGCUGUUAUUGUUAUUUGCUGUGGUAUUUUGCGGCUAGUGAACUGUUGCUGUGUUACUGCUGCUCUGCUGAUCCUUCUGUUUCUUCUUCUAUUUUUCCAAUAUCAGGUACACGUUCGAAUCACUACUGAUGUAGCUGUGAGGUGUGAAAAUAAAAUGAAAUGCUAGUGUGUUUGAUGAGUUAAUGUUGUAUCUACAGUUUAAUAAAGAUAUGUGACAAGUAUAUGUACAGUUUAGUUUUAUAACUCAACUAGAAUACAUGAUGUAGUCUUUAUUUAACUUGAACUGUUUGGUUUUAAAUUAUAGUUUGUAGUUAUCAAUUACAGAUGCUAUGAAGUUAAUAUAUAUAAUUUAUAGAAUGGACACAAUUGAUGUAUUUCAUCUCUAGUUUUCUUUUAUAUUUUUGGUAUAUUUUAAACAAGCCAGUUUGAUGCCGUUAGGCAAUAUAUAGGUCAAUGUUCGAAUCCAAAUCGAUAACGUUUCCUAGCCGUUAGUCUCAAUCAUCUAGAAUUGUUAAUUUAAAUCAAUAUUAGAAAUAUUAGUUUAAAUCAUUUUAUAAUAAUUAUUUCAUUUUCAAUUCUUUGUCAAUCUUGUGUAUGCAUAUCAGUUUUGUAGCUCGUUUAUAGAACAAGAUAUGAGUCAAUUUUCGUCUUUCAAGUUCAAGUGCAUUUCCUCUAUUAGUCGCUAUCAUAAAUCUAACACUAUCGAAUAAGAGGCUCGAACUCACCAAGCAUGUAAAUUAAUUACGAUUUUUUCUUCUUUCGUAUGUAGAGACGAACUUAAUAAAGAAAAUUUAGUUACAUUAGGAUUAUCCCUUUAAAAUAAAUGAGACGAGCCUCACCGAAUAAAAGGGAACAAGCUGUGGGGUCCUCGGUAAAGGUUUAAAAAUAUUUAGAAAAUCGGGAAGGGUCGUUUAGUGAAUUUCACGACCCUCUCAAAAGAUUACAAUGCGCUAGACUCUAUUGGACGCGCCUUAAUUAAUCUUACCUUCCUAAACUCGGGUGUGCAUUUA
rnacentral:lncRNA from 1 species